CGCGGCCUAUCAGCUUGUUGGUGGGGUAGUGGCCUACCAAGGCGACGACGGGUAGCCGGCCUGAGAGGGUGACCGGCCACACUGGGACUGAGACACGGCCCAGACUCCUACGGGAGGCAGCAGUGGGGAAUAUUGCGCAAUGGGCGGAAGCCUGACGCAGCGACGCCGCGUGGGGGAUGACGGCCUUCGGGUUGUAAACCUCUUUCAGCAGGGACGAAGCGGAAGUGACGGUACCUGCAGAAGAAGCACCGGCUAACUACGUGCCAGCAGCCGCGGUAAUACGUAGGGUGCGAGCGUUGUCCGGAAUUAUUGGGCGUAAAGGGCUUGUAGGCGGUGUGUCGCGUCGGCCGUGAAAACUUGGGGCUUAACUCUGAGCUUGCGGUCGAUACGGGCAUCACUGGAGUUCGGCAGGGGAGACUGGAAUUCCUGGUGUAGCGGUGAAACGCGCAGAUAUCAGGAGGAACACCGGUGGCGAAGGCGGGUCUCUGGGCCGAUACUGACGCUGAGGAGCGAAAGCGUGGGGAGCGAACAGGAUUAGAUACCCUGGUAGUCCACGCCGUAAACGAUGGGCACUAGGCGUCGGGGGGAGCGACCCUCCCGGUGCCGUCGCUAACGCAGUAAGUGCCCCGCCUGGGGAGUACGG
rnacentral:rRNA from 1 species